UGUAAAUUACUACGAUGUAAUUAAACUUCUAGGAGUUAUACCUAAGGAAGGAAUUGUUAUAGAUUGAAACGAUUGAGAUUUGUGCGAAACUUGACCAAUCGUAAAACGUCGGGAACAUGCGUGCAACGACAAACAGUGGAAGCGCACAAACCAACGAAGUAACGAAUCGAACGCUAAUUGGUCCGAUUUCAUAACGGGUCACGUUGUUGGUCGUGGGUGAUUGGUGGAAACGACUGGACAAGUUAUGAACUCUACUAAAAUGUGAAUAGUUUCAAUAGACUAAUCAGCCGUUAGAAACCACGAUAGAGUAAUUUUUCGAUCGCUUUCGGGUCAAAUGAUGGUAAACAGACCGAUUGAACACGCGGUUGCGUCACUAAAUUGAUCGUGACAAACACGAACUAAGAUUAUUGUGUAACAAACUUUCACUGAAUGCAGACACUCGUAAUUAUUUUGAUACCUCGAAUAUCGAAUAUUUGAUGAGCUUUUGCUAUAGUUCCUUUUAUUUCUUUGAUUUCUUGAAAACGAUUUUAUGAAUUUGUUUACAAGAAAAUUUUGAUUGUUGCAUUAUAACUUAUGACAUCAAUCCAUCUCUGAAGAGAAGAUAUUCCAUUGCAGUUGCCCAGUUAAGAGGAGUCGUAUCAGUAUCAUUAAUAGUGAAGACCAGCGUAUAGGCGACGUGAUUGUGAAGAUUUUUACCUACACCAGGUAAAUCAUGAAUAACCGGGACACCAACAGCAUUCAAUUCUUCCCGAGGACCGAUACCACUGUUCAAAAGUAUUUGUGGUGAAUUAACGGCACCUAAAUAACAAAAAUAUUACGCAUAUUUAAAUAAUGUUUUAAUCAUAAAAAAUUAUAAAAAAAACUAUUUUUGAUAAUAAUUAAUAUUGAGAAAGAAACUCAUUGUAUAUAUUUAUAUAUAUAUUUCCAUUAUUACAAUUAUAAUUAUUUAUGGUAUAUUUAGUUAUAUUAAUUCUAAGUUGGUAGUUUUAAAAUUAAGUCUGUUUUCUAGUAAUAGAAAUAAAUAUAGUAUUCAAGUAUUUCGCAAAUCAUUCUAUGUAAUCAUUCAACUGUAUUUUACAAAAGGAAAUCGCAAUUUGAACAGGAUAUGGUCAUUGAUCGAUCGCACAAAAGAACAUAUCAAAAGACUGACUAAUCAGAAAAAUAUGUACAUAGAAUGAAAGCUUAAAAACGGCCUUGUAACGAAUAUAUAAUUAUCAAUGAGUCCUCUCUAACCUCAUCAACAAUAUAUAUACCAAAUAUGUCCUC